rnacentral:rRNA from 1 species
UAGGGAAUAUUGGGCAAUGGAGGCAACUCUGACCCAGCCAUGCCGCGUGCAGGAUGAAGGCGCUCAGCGUUGUAAACUGCUUUUAUCAGGGAAGAACGUGAGUCCUGCGGGAUUUUUUGACGGUACCUGAGGAAUAAGCACCGGCUAACUCCGUGCCAGCAGCCGCGGUAAUACGGAGGGUGCAAGCGUUGUCCGGAUUUAUUGGGUUUAAAGGGUGCGUAGGUGGUUUUUUAAGUCUGGUUUGAAAGCAAGCGGCUUAACCGUUUGAUGUGGCUGGAAACUGAAGGACUUGAAUGCGUUGGCGGUAGCCGGAACGGGUCAUGUAGCGGUGAAAUGCAUAGAUAUGACCCAGAACACCGAUUGCGAAGGCAGGCUACUACGACGUGAUUGACACUGAGGCACGAGAGCAUGGGUAGCGAACA